AACGAACGCUGGCGGCGCGUCUUAAGCAUGCAAGUCGAACGGUAAGGGAGAGCUUGCUCUCCCCUAGAGUGGCGGACUGGUGAGUAACGCGUGGGUGACCUGCCCUGAAGAUGGGGAUAGCGAGUAGAAAUAUUAGAUAAUACCGAAUGUGCUCAUUUACAUAAAGGUAAAUGAGGAAAGGAGCUACGGCUCCGCUUCAGGAUGGGCCCGCGUCCCAUUAGCUGGUUGGUGAGGUAAAGGCCCACCAAGGCAACGAUGGGUAUCCGGCCUGAGAGGGUGAACGGACACAUUGGGACUGAGAUACGGCCCAAACUCCUACGGGAGGCAGCAGCUAAGAAUCUUCCGCAAUGGACGAAAGUCUGACGGAGCGACGCCGUGUGAAUGAAGAAGGCCGAAAGGUUGUAAAAUUCUUUGCAGAUGAAGAAUAAGAAGAAGAGGGAAUGCUUCUUUGAUGACGGUAGUCAUGCGAAUAAGCCCCG
rnacentral:rRNA from 1 species